rnacentral:rRNA from 1 species
CCUACGGGUGGCAACAGUGGGGGAUCUUGCACCAUGGGGGGAACCCUGAUGCAGCGACGCCGCGUGGGUGAAGAAGCGCCUCGGCGCGUAAAGCCCUGUCAGCAGGGAAGAAAAUGACGGUACCUGAAGAAGAAGCCCCGGCUAACUACGUGCCAGCAGCCGCGGUCAUACGUAGGGGGCAAGCGUUAUCCGGCUUGACUGGGGUUAAAGCGGGCGCAGACGGGGAUGGAAGCCAGGCGUGAAAGCCCGGGGCCCAACCCCCGGGCCGCCCUUGGAACUGGGUGGCUGGAGUGGAGGAGGGGCAGGCGGAAUUCCUGGUGUAGCGGUGAAAUGCGUAGAUAUCAGGAGGAACACCGGUGGCGAAGGCGGCCUGCUGGACUGCAACUGACGUUGAGGCCCGAAAGCGUGGGGAGCAAACAGGAUUAGAUACCCGAGUAGUC